rnacentral:rRNA from 1 species
UGCCAGCCGCCGCGGUAAUACAGAGGGUGCAAGCGUUGUUCGGAAUCACUGGGCGUAAAGCGCGUGUAGGCGGUCUCGUAAGUUGGAUGUGAAAGCCCUCGGCUCAACCGAGUGAAGUGCAUCCAAAACUGCGGAACUAGAGUGUCGGAGGGGAUGGCGGAAUUCCUGGUGUAGAGGUGAAAUUCGUAGAUAUCAGGAGGAACACCUGUGGCGAAGGCGGCCAUCUGGACGAUUACUGACGCUGAGACGCGAAAGCGUGGGGAGCAAACAGGAUUAGAUA